rnacentral:tRNA from 1 species
UCUGUGAUAGCUCAGUUGGUAAAGAAUCUGCCUGCAAUGCAGGAGACCCAGGUUCAAUACCUGGGUGGAGAA